GUUGAUUUUAAUUAGUGUAAAGUUGUCUUCGUAACUUCCGUGUUGGUUGGAAAUAGGUUCAUUCUUUGUUUUGAAAAGGAGUCAAGCGCAGUGGUGAGAAGGGGAAGAGGAGAGCAGGCGGUUCCAGUGCGACCCAACGGCAGCCAGAGGCCGCCCUGCCCCGCCGGCCAGAAGCGGACUCGGUGCAGACAUGCAGCUCUCUCCGUGGAAUGUGCAUGUGCACGGAGAGACGGGAUUUCACCAUGUUAGCCAAGAUGGUCUCCAUCUCCUGACCUUGUGAUCCGCCCGCCUCAGCCUCCCAAAGUGCUGGAAUUACAGGCAUGAGCCACCACGCCCAGCCGUAUGAUUACCCUUAAGAGUUAACUACCACACUCAAAAGAGGGAGGAGUGGGAAGGAAGAGGCGACGUGAGGGAGCCACUUGGCAGGGGGAGCAGGCGUGCUCUGCAGAACCCCGUGGGCAGCACCAGCGAGUCAGCAAUGGGAAGAAGUGACACGACGGCACAACUCCCAACUCUUUGACCUAUUCAAAGAUGGAACUUCACAGAGAAUCAGCUCUGCUUUGUCCUAGACACAUUUAAAGAGAGCUGAGACGGCCUGUCAGGAAGCGCACACUACGCUGUGGGAACAAAAACACCAGGUGUCUGCUAUGGCCAAGGCAGAUAAGGUCUUUCUCUCCAACAGGAUCCAGAGAUGAGCCACUGGUACUAACACCCAACGGCUGAUGAAUACGUCUGCUGAGGGACACGUUCUACAAAACAAUGAAGUUUGCUGCAUCAACUGCAUUUUCCUUUCAUGAAAAAUUUCUCUGUACCAUGCAGUGGUGUUUGACAGCAUGUUACCCACAGUAGAAUUACUUUCAAAAUCUGAGUCAAUCUUCUCAAACCCUGCCGCUGCUUUAUCAACUAAAUUGUUUCAUAUGAACGUACCCUCCACGUGACCUCUUUAAUGCACUUGGCAAACUCCGUUAAUGCUGUUGAAGAAUGUAUGUUCUGUGCUGUGGUAAGAGGUGAUCGUAAUGCCCAAAUCAUCCAAUACACUAUCAUAAAGUGAAGUGAAAGACAUGUACUAGAUGUUUGCUUUGUGAAUGUGAAUGAAAGUCUUAUUUUGGGGGUGUAGUUUCUUAUGUUUUAAUAAAAACAGUAGUCAUUAUUUUAAAAAGCA